rnacentral:rRNA from 1 species
UGGGGAAUAUUGCACAAUGGGCGCAAGCCUGAUGCAGCAACGCCGCGUGAACGAUGAAGGUCUUCGGAUCGUAAAGUUCUGUUGCAGGGGAAGAUAAUGACGGUACCCUGUGAGGAAGCCCCGGCUAACUACGUGCCAGCAGCCGCGGUAAUACGUAGGGGGCUAGCGUUAUCCGGAUUUACUGGGCGUAAAGGGUGCGUAGGUGGUCUUUCAAGUCGGUGGUUAAAGGCUACGGCUCAACCGUAGUUAGCCUCCGAAACUGGAAGACUUGAGUGCAGGGGAGGAAAGUGGAAUUCCCAGUGUAGCGGUGAAAUGCGUAGAUAUUGGGAGGAACACCAGUGGCGAAGGCGGCUUUCUGGACUGCAACUGACACUGAGGCACGAAAGAGUGGGUAGCAAACAGG